UACAGAGGGGGCGAGCGUUGUUCGGAAUUACUGGGCGUAAAGGGCGCGUAGGCGGCCCGCUAAGUCGAACGUGAAAUCCCCGGGCUCAACCCGGGAACUGCGUCCGAUACUGGCAGGCUUGAAUCCGGGAGAGGGAUGUGGAGUUCCAGGUGUAGCGGUGAAAUGCGUAGAUAUCUGGAGGAACACCGGUGGCGAAGGCGGCAUCCUGGACCGGUAUUGACGCUGAGGCGCGAAAGCCAGGGGAGCAAACGGG
rnacentral:rRNA from 1 species